rnacentral:rRNA from 1 species
ACAUGUCUACAACAUAGCGUUAAUGCACCGGAUCCCAUUAUAACUCCACAGUUAAGCAUGAUUAGGCUAGAGUAGUAUUGGGAUGGGUGACCCCCCGAGAAGUUCUAGUGUUUUACAUGCC